UACGGAGGGGGCUAGCGUUGUUCGGAAUUACUGGGCGUAAAGCGCACGUAGGCGGCUUUGUAAGUUAGAGGUGAAAGCCCAGGGCUCAACCCUGGAAUUGCCUUUAAGACUGCAUCGCUUGAAUUGUGGAGAGGUAAGUGGAAUUCCGAGUGUAGAGGUGAAAUUCGUAGAUAUUCGGAAGAACACCAGUGGCGAAGGCGACUUACUGGACACA
rnacentral:rRNA from 1 species